rnacentral:lncRNA from 1 species
UCUUGCCAAGAUAGGAAAUCCAAAUGCAAAAUUACAAUUCAGUAUAUCCAUCAAAUUCAAAUUUCUGAUCUCCAAAUACAAUUCCUCUAUUGCAUGCCACAAAGAAACAAGUAUCCAAAUGUGCAAAAAUUGAGCUUCGAAAUCCAACCACUUGGAUACCAUCUGAGGCUGUCUCAACCAAUAUCUGAGAUUCUACUAACAAGUACUAGAUACCAGCGGUUGAAAAGAACAUAUAAAAACCUGUAAAUCAUAACCAUAUUCGAGAGGCAACAAUAAUCAAACUUCACUAUAGCCAGAAAUUUCC